GUCUACGGCCAUACCACCCUGAACGCGCCCGAUCUCGUCUGAUCUCAGAAGCUAAGCAGGGUCGGGCCUGGUUAGUACUUGGAUGGGACAUUUUUGAGAGAAGUACCAAAGAAA
rnacentral:rRNA from 1 species